UUUUUUUUAUUUUUUAUUUUUUAAUUUUCCUAUUUUGUUAAAUUGAGGCUGUAGAUGUCGUUUCUUAUUUUUUUCCAUUUUAAUUAGGAAUUGUAUCAUGUUCCUAUUUCAAUUAGGAAUACUUAUCAUUUUUCCUAUUUGAUCUAAGUUAUAGUUUUCCUAUUUUAUUUAGGAUUCUUAAUGUGUUUUAGUUUUUCUAGAAUUUCUCAAUAGUCAAUAGUAGAUUUAUUUUCCUGUUAGGAUUAGGAGAUUAAAAUCUCUAUAAAUAGGUCUUAAUUCUUUGUAUUUCAGUUUAGUUUUUGAUAGAUAAUAAUAUUUUCUACAGAGUUGUCUCUCAAAUACUUGUGUAUUUGUGUCAAUCAGUGUUGUCAAAAGCAUUAGGUGCCCUUAAGGCGAGAAGGUUCUCUAUCGCCCAAGGCGUUUGCCCCAGUGAAGUGAGGCGUUAAUUUAUUCUAAAACAGUAAAUAAUUAAAUAUACACUGUAAAAAAAUCUAACAUAUUACACAAUCAAUAA
rnacentral:misc_RNA from 1 species